rnacentral:rRNA from 1 species
CCAACGGGGGGCAGCAGUAGGGAAUUUUCGGCAAUGGGGGGAACCCUGACCGAGCAACGCCGCGUGAACGAAGAAGUUAUUCGUAAUGUAAAGUUCUUUUAACAGGGAAGAAAGAGAAAUUUGACGGUACCUGAAGAAUAAGCUCCGGCUAACUACGUGCCAGCAGCCGCGGUAAUACGUAGGGAGCGAGCGUUAUACGGAAUUAUUGGGCGAAAAGGGUGCGUAGAUGGCAUAGUAAGUCUUUUGUAAAAAUGCUGGGCUCAACCCAGUAGGGCAAAAGAUACUGCAAAGCUAGAGUAUGACAGAGGCAAGUGGAACUACAUGUGUAGCGGUAAAAUGCGUAAAUAUAUGUAAGAACACCAGUGGCGAAGGCGGCUUGCUGGGUCGAUACUGACAUUGAGGCACGAAAGCGUGGGGAGCAAACAGGAUUAGAUACCCUAGUAGUC